UACGUAGGGUGCGAGCGUUAAUCGGAAUUACUGGGCGUAAAGCGUGCGCAGGCGGUUUUGUAAGUCAGAUGUGAAAGCCCCGGGCUCAACCUGGGAAUUGCAUUUGAAACUACAAGGCUAGAGUGUGUCAGAGGGGGGUAGAAUUCCACGUGUAGCAGUGAAAUGCGUAGAGAUGCGGAGGAACACCGAUGGCGAAGGCAGCCCCCUGGGCUGACACUGACGCUCAGGCACGAAAGCGUGGGGAGCAAACAGG
rnacentral:rRNA from 1 species